UAUUUUGUAAAAAACCAAAACAAAUUUCUAACUAUUAUUGAGUUUUUUCCCUAUUUAUAGUUCUACUGAUUUCCUCUUUGCUAAUUUUGACAGUUAGAGACUGAGCUUUUAACUCAACCAAUUUGGUUUAUCUUCAAAACUAAGUGGCUCCAAGAAACUCGUCAUCGAAGUUGUUGGCUUUGCUAAUAUUGGAGUAUGAUCUGAUUGUGAAAUUGAAAUAAACUUAUUUAAUAUGAGCUAGCUGUGUUCUUUCAUAACAUGAGAUCUAUUUUGCUUACUUG
rnacentral:lncRNA from 1 species